ACCUGGCAUACAAUGUAGAAUUCUGUAUUUGUUAAGCAACAGCUACAUUGUCUGCUGGGUUUC
rnacentral:pre_miRNA from 1 species